rnacentral:lncRNA from 1 species
CCAUUGGAGGAGGCAGGAUAGGAAAUUCUGAAAAAAGAAGCAUUAAUGGCCCUAAUGCCUUAAAUGACACUUCUACUCACAUAAAUGAGUCUACUGACCUGGUAACUGCUUUGUCAGGCAUGGGUCUUUCAGCUAGUUCUAUGGAUGAGGAGAAUAAUUUACCGUCUCGAAUUAAACAAGAAGUUGAUGACCAUGAGAAUUUCUUCAAUCUUCCAGGUGGUCAGAAUAACCUGAAGCAGCAUGCAUACCUGAAGAAAUCUGAAUCUGGGCAAUUCAAUAUGUCUUCUGUUCUUCAGCAUGCAAAAAUGAUGCCUUCUGACGCUGGUGUAAGCAAUGGCGAUGGUUUGGAUGUCAGCAACUCUUCUUUUCAAACUGAGCUGCACAAAACCAGUGCUUCUUCUAAUAAAACAUGGUGGUGUUGUUGGUGGCAGUAGUGGCAAUAGCUCUGCCUUUGCUGAGUAUGCAAGAAAUAAGAGUGGUAAUGGUUUCAUGUCAGAGGAGGAGCUUAGGUCCGAUCCUGCAUAUCUUAGAUAACAUUGGUUCAGCAGAGGCUGAGCUGGUUCAUAUGCGUCAUAAAUUGACAUCUGCAGACCCUGUACGCUCUGCUUCAAAUGUUCAGACCUCAUCUGCUUCUCAACAUGUUGGACCGCCCACAUCAUAUUCUUAUGCUGCUGCUUUGGGAGCUUCCUUGUCAAGAAGCUCCACUCCUGAUCCUCAACACAUUGCUCGGGCUCCUAGUCCUUGUCUUACACCCAUUGGAGGAGGCAGGAUAGGAAAUUCUGAAAAAAGAAGCAUUAAUGGCCCUAAUGCCUUAAAUGACACUUCUACUCACAUAAAUGAGUCUACUGACCUGGUAACUGCUUUGUCAGGCAUGGGUCUUUCAGCUGGUUCUAUGGAUGAGGAGAAUAAUUUACCGUCUCGAAUUAAACAAGAAGUUGAUGACCAUGAGAAUUUCUUCAAUCUUCCAGGUGGUCAGAAUAACCUGAAGCAGCAUGCAUACCUGAAGAAAUCUGAAUCUGGGCAAUUCAAUAUGUCUUCUGUUCUUCAGCAUGCAAAAAUGAUGCCUUCUGACGCUGGUGUAAGCAAUGGCGAUGGUUUGGAUGUCAGCAACUCUUCUUUUCAAACUGAGCUGCACAAAACCAGUGCUUCUUCUAAUAACUCUUUUGUGCAUGGAUCCUCUACCACAGCAGUUAAUGGUCGGAGUGGCCUAUUUUCUCAAUAUCAGCAUCUGGAUAGUCCAAAUUCA